rnacentral:piRNA from 1 species
UGUAAAAGGAAAGCCCCUGAUAUUCCCAC